CCCCUCCCUCUCGCUUCCGCCCACAUAGUUAUGAGAUAACCUAACCCCUAUCUAUGAACCUUGGCGUUCACCAGAAUAAUCCGAGUGCAAUCCGAUUAAUUUGCGCUGAAACGCUGACAGUUUUUUUACUAGUGAACGACCGACGUUUGACAUUCGAUUGAGAGUGUUCUGUGUUCCAUUUGUUUAUGUUUUUAUUCUUUGUUUAUAAAAUUUAUAACCUAGACAGUUUUGUUUUUAAAUAAAACUGAAACUGUGUCUAAACCAAUGCUAAACUAAAAUGGAUAAUAUUCUUGAAGAAUUUUUGUUUGGGGACGAAAUUAGCAAAUGCCGUUAUACAUUUAGCAGAUGUACCUACCUCAAAUUAUUCCAGAAGGAUGAGAUGAAAUUAUAUAUAUAAACCAUAAUUCAAUAUCCAAUUUAGAGAACAUUUUCGUAUGUCCAGAACUACUUUCCAGGAACUAUUUAAUUGUAUUGGUCAUAUCCACCAAUUUGAAAACAGAAUAAUUCUAUUGGAAAAAAAUUAAUGUUUAUGAUUUGGAUGCUAAGUAAACCAGAGAAUUUGUUGCUGGGGAUACGUUUGGUUUGCCAAAGAGCUCUGGACAUAAGAUUUUCACCCAAAUAAUAUAGAAUUACAAAAAAUUGGAAAUAACUAAUCUUGAAUAUCAAUGUGUAUAUUGAGUUUAAUUUUAUUGUAAAUAUUCUAUAAUAUAAUUUUAUUGUAAAUAUUGUAUUAACCCAUUUGUGGACACAUCUUCAUAUGCAGACAGUAAUUUCCCUUUGUAAGUACAUGCAUAUAUAGUCGUAUCUGCGAAUGGGUUAAUUGUAAAUCGUAAUCAAUAAAAAUUUUUUGUGAAUCAAUAAAAAACUGGUUUGUUUGAAAAUAAAUGUAGUACAAAUGUG